rnacentral:rRNA from 1 species
GCGAGAGGUGAAAUUCUUAGACCUUCGGAAGACUAACAGCUGCGAAAGCGUUCCGCAAGGAUGUUCCCUUUGAUCAAGAACGAAAGUUGGGGGAUCGAAGACGAUCAGAUACCGUCGUAGUCUCAACUAUAAACUAUACCAGCUAGGGAUCGGCCAACGUUAUUUAAUACCGACUUGGUCGGCACCUUAUGAGAAAUCAAAGCAUCUGGGUUCCGGGGGGAGUAUGGUCGCAAGGCUGAAACUUAAAGGAAUUGACGGAAGGGCACCACCAGCCGUGGAGCCUGUGGCUUAAUUUGACUCAACACGGGAAAACUUACCAGGUCCAGACAUAGUAAGGAUUGACAGAUUGAUAGCUCU